rnacentral:rRNA from 1 species
UGGGGAAUAUUGCACAAUGGGCGCAAGCCUGAUGCAGCCAUGCCGCGUGUGUGAAGAAGGCCUUCGGGUUGUAAAGCACUUUCAGCGAGGAGGAAGGUGGUGAGCUUAAUACGCUCAUCAAUUGACGUUACUCGCAGAAGAAGCACCGGCUAACUCCGUGCCAGCAGCCGCGGUAAUACGGAGGGUGCAAGCGUUAAUCGGAAUUACUGGGCGUAAAGCGCACGCAGGCGGUUUGUUAAGUCAGAUGUGAAAUCCCCGGGCUCAACCUGGGAACUGCAUUUGAAACUGGCAAGCUAGAGUCUCGUAGAGGGGGGUAGAAUUCCAGGUGUAGCGGUGAAAUGCGUAGAGAUCUGGAGGAAUACCGGUGGCGAAGGCGGCCCCCCUGGACGAAGACUGACGCUCAGGUGCGAAAGCGUGGGGCAGCAAACAGGAUUAGAUACCCUGGUAGUCCAGCGCUGUAAACGAUGUCGAUUUGGAGGUUGUGCCCUUGAGGCGUGGCUUCCGGAGCUAACGCGUUAAAUCGACCGCCUGGGGAGUACGGCCGCAAGGUU